rnacentral:lncRNA from 1 species
GUUUAGCACAGUGCCUGCGCAUGGAAGGCUCUCAAAUAAAUAUUCGUGCAAUGUUUUGAGAAGUAGAAAGUGCUAGGCACGUAGGCGUUCAGGAGACAGUCACGGUACUCGUUUCCAGACAGAAGUCAUGAGGAACAAGAGGGAAGGUGCUUUCCCGUGUGCAGCGCUUGGGGAGACUCACACAGACAGAGGAUCUGGCAUGACAGGGAAAGGAGGAAAUGGCUUCUGUUAAUCUCUCCUUCAGCUUCUCCCGCCCUUCCCAUGCACUCUUCCUGUUUCCCUUUCCAGUUCUCACGGUGACUCAAGGAACAACGUGUGAAAUGAAAGACCUCAGGUGCUGUAUUGGCUCUUGACAGCUCUUCAGAAGAAAAUACCUCCUGCCUGUUCUGUUCAGUCCUGGUGCAGGUGAGUCACUGCCUUGCCAGCCAGGCAAGUAUUUUAAGAAACAAAAUCUAAGCCAGAACCAGCAGAGAAAUACGAGGGAUGGAUUAGCGCCAUUAGCUUUGAUGGUGUCUUGUUGUCAUGGUGCUAGGAAAAUCACUAUCAUUUACAGUCCCACUCACCAGCUGUUUUGCUAGAAUUUUUGACAUGAGAGGCUGGUGGCCACCCUAACACAGGCGUGGGACAUGGGUGUGCACACACACGUACACCUGCAGCAGACACCCACUCUAGAGGGCUCACGUUGGUUGUCUGGGACGUGAUUCAAAGGCUGUACCCAUGUGUAUGACAAUCCUGUUUCCCGUACAUCAGCUUCCAGGAAGCCAAAUGACCCACCGGCUUACCCACAUCGCAGGAAGCUUUGGAGCAGAGUCAGUGACUAUGUGAACCUGCCUCAACCUCUGCUCCCUGGUUCAGCAUUUGGCUUGGGAAAAAUGACACUAUUUCCUGUCUCUUAAACAUUAUUUCAAGGCACAGGUCUUCCACCAUUCUGAGAGGCAGGGGGAUCUUUGAGUUCUGCCAGGAGCUGGGGGUUAGGGGUAGGGGAAUCCCGCCCAAGGGAAAUGACUAGAAUCUUUGUCAGGCUGUGGAACACAGGCAUUUCUGGAUAGGUGGCCUCCCCUGUGGCCUCUCCUGGCAUCUACACUGCAAAGUCCCCUGUAUCUACUGAAAGGGGUGAGGGUGGGGGCAUUCAUUGGUACUGGGAGGCAAGCUUUGAGUGGAAAGGAGCUUCUCUCGUGGCCCUCCAGUGAGCCACACUAGAGGAGGCCUCAGAUGCAUGGUGCUCCCUGCUCAGACUCACACUUGCCUGACUCCCUCCUUCGUGCUCUUCCUUCGGCUGCCCUUACCUGGGGGACUACAGUGGCUGUGGGGGUGCAGCGGGGGUUGGGGGGGGCGGCAUACCUCACUACCUGGCUUUUCCCAAGUCCCUUUAAUUAAGCCAAAUCUUUGUAUGAAUGUAAAAUACAAGUAGGCUUUAUCCCUGGGCCCUGUGCUCCUCUGCCCCAGAUUCUGACUCAAGGGCUUGGAGCAGACUUAUUUUUACUAAAAGCCCAAGU